rnacentral:lncRNA from 1 species
CUUAAUAAAAUCAUCCACUAUAUAAUCAUUCAUUAUCUUUACAAUUAACCAUCUAAAGCUACCACAGUUCUUCAAUCAAGGUAUAUAUCUACAUAUAUAGAGAGAGUACACUUCAUAAUUCCGUCCCUUGUCUUCCGUAAACGUAGCACGAAAAUUUGAUACCUAGUAUUGUAAGGCAAGUCGUAGAAGCAGUCUUCCUGCACAUAUUUAAAAAUAAUAGCAAGUCAGGAAAAUGAAGCAAAUAGGUCAACAGAGGCACUUAGUGCCAAAAUCAAUACACAAAGACAACAAUGUUGUGUUAUUUUCUUACUAAUCAAGGGACAUGGAAGAAGGUAAUAGCCUUUUUAUUGACUACCAAAUUAAUAUCUAAAUCAAAUAUCCUGAAGAAGACAAGAAUGUGCUUCGUGAACCUCGUCCUGGUGGGUAUACAUUAACACACAGAUCAAGAUAAUAAUUGGUGCUCAUAAAUAAUACUACAAGUGAACAGACAUUUUACAGGCUUAUAAUGAUGACAGUACAACUUGAUAAAUAUGUUUGUGCGUGUAACGAAAGUCAGAAACAUACUUAAUGAUUCUGCUGAAAAGGAAAUUGCUGAUUGCGAUAACUGCUUUUCCUACUUAAUUGCAUGAUGUUUCUGGAAUGAGUCGGAUGUUUGGUGCCUUAGCAGCAUGUCUUGUUGUAAUAUAUUUGGUUGUUGUUGCUGUAAUUGUCGUUGUGAAUCCUGUUGUGGCUCUUUUGCUCAAUUCACCUUCUCUAAAACAUAUAUUGUGAAACUUCACCAAAUUAAACUAUGAAACAUAUAUAACAGUAAAAAAAAAGUGUGAUUUACAAAGCAUAUUCUAGUCAUAUGGGAAUGUUGGAUAAACCAUUCAUCAUUUUCAGAGAACCAUCAUAUAUGAUAGUGAAGCCAUAUGGAAAUCAAUAGACAAGUCUAUCAAUUUAGUUGGUAAAAACAUGUUCAAUGUUGAGAUAAUGUCAGCUGACAUGUAUAAUUUGACAUCUAGAUAUACUUAUAAAUAUUAUAUAUAUAUAUAUAUAUAUAUAUAUAUAUAAUCCAGACAUGGAUAAAAAGUCACGAUUUACAAAGGAAGUCAAGCACAAGAAAAAUAGAAAGAAUAAAAAUAAUGUGAUAGAAAGAAAAUUGAUCUUGUGUAAGCAAUGCUCAGUUUUUAAAAGGCGAUCAUUUGAUAAUAAAGCACCCAAACUAACUUAUACUGUUUACUAGACUAAGAUAUAUUUAAGGUAGGCAAAAAAAAAGAAGAUUUUACCUUAAGCUUACAACUGAUGCCUUUGGUAAAACUCUUGUACCAAGAAGUAGGAAGCAAAUAAACAUCAGAUUCCCAAAAAUGGCGUCCAUCAACAACUACAUUAACAAUGGAAAACCCAUUUAAUCAAAGAAAAGUAUGCCAUUACUAUGAAAAACUUCUUUAUCAUACAAAAGAAAAUGUUUAUACCUUCCCGUAG